GUAUGGAGGUAAGCGGCUCCGGGCUGACCCACGCGCGGCCCCGGCGUGCCGGCAGCACCGCGGCUCACUCACUAGGGGCGUCCCUUGUGGGCUUUCGUCCGUUCCUGCUCUGGCUCUGAGCGCACGCACUCUGUAGCCGCGGCACUCGCACGGCCCCCCCAAAAGGCUGCGGGGGUGGGGGUGGGCGCAGAACGAAGGAGUUGAGCUGUAAGCAGAUUUUCUUUCACUCCUCAGCUCUGGGAAAAGGGCCAGCCCCGUGUCCCGCGCGCCUGGCUCUGCUCCGCAGUUUGCCGAGAGCAGAGAGGCGUUUGAGCAGAGGAGGCGCACGGUUCGGGUCGUGUCACCAUUUCUGAGCUUUGCUGACUGCCCAGAAGCAGGGGACGGCGGCAGCACCACGGAGGUGGGUCCCGUGACACCUGGGAUGUUGUGUCUAGCCCUCUCCCACUACGGAUGGAUUCCAGUCUGGACUGCAGGGAUCCAGGUGAGAACAUGAAGAGUAUUGGCAUUAAAAAGGCAUCUGGUCCCCACUUUUUAGAUACAGAAGUAGGAGAUCCAAGGGGCAAGGGCAAGCCCCCUUUACCUGCUGCAGACACCUUGGCUUCUGCCAGCAACCUUGCAGAUGAAGAUGACUGGUACCUGUCUCCUCUCUGCCUGUAUUAGACACUUCCCUUGCUGCCUGAGGACCUUUGCCUGCUCUCAGAGGACCUGUAACUUAAAAAUUCAUCUCCAGGCUAUUUACCUUACAAAGCAAAUAGCCAAGAAACAGCCACAGUUCUUAACUCUGUGACCUGUCCCUUUAGAAUGAAAAGAACAGGUAGUAGCUAGAAUUUGAGGUGUUGUAAAUAUGGGUGGGCACUUGUUCUUGAAGUUUUAUUUCUGGACCACGUAGCUGAAGCCCAGGCAUCCAGAUGAGAAUGCUCAGUCCAGUCAGUCUCAUGAGGGCUUUGAGAAUUCUGCAGAAUCACCGGGCUGUUUGCAGGAGCUACUAGUCUAGGCUGUAGGCCCAGGGAAGGAGCACUGGGGUGCACAGGCUGGUGAUUUUGUUGGGAUUUCCUCUCCUACCUGCUGAUUCCUUUGGCUCUGUCACUCAGCCUGGUUUGGCAGACUGACUUGAGAGUGGGCGAAGAGGGGCAGUCAUCAUAAUAUUGUUAUAAAGUAACAUGAGUUGAGAAUAGGCACUGUGUCACCUGCUAGGUUUGAGACUGUGAUGUCCUAGACCUGAAGUCCACCCUAACUGCAAGUUCUGAGAAGCAUGAGAGUGGAUCAGUUGGUGCUGCCCUGAGGUUAAGCAGAGUCUGAUUGCAGAGUUGGGCCCUCUUUCCCACUGAGGCCAUGUAACUGGAGAGGCAGUCAUGGCCCACCAUAACAUUCAGUAAUGUCUGUGGUUGAGGCAGGGGGCCCUGUUUCCCCUCUAAAUCCUCUUCAUCAGCUAACUCCAGUCAGCUCAAACUGGGAAGGUUUUGAAGGGAGGGGCACGUGGGUGAGAUCUUGAAAGAUGGAGCAACUACCACAAAGUUGAGGCAACGGGGGGGGGGCGGUUUAGCAGGUUAGGACUGGAAGUAAAUGCAGCAGGAGAUGCAGUGGGAUUUGCAUCAGGAAUAGGGGUUGACCAUUUGGUGUUAAAGAGAUCAAUCUUGUGAGUAUGUUGUAAAACUGGGCCAUUGUGAAAGUCCAGGCUCAUCAUAGAAGAUCUUGCUCUCUCAUCCUGAGGGAUAUUUAAGGAUGAGAAUGUGGGGUAUUCUUUGAUUAGAUUCUUUUUAGGAAUUAGGAAAAGCUUAGAAGCCUAUUGCUGACAUUGUGGAACAAUGGGAAGGAGUGAAUUGGAAUCUUGAUGUGUGUUAUGAUGUCCAGCAAGAGAGGUGUUCUUGCUCGGGUGUGAACAGGUGGAGCCUUAAAGAACUGGAUGCAUUCUUGUCUGUGGGACAAUGUCUGUAACUUGACACAUGCUGUCUAGUCCAGGCUUGCAGAGUUCCAAAGCCUGGGUGGAGAACAUGGCUUAGUCCGAGGGAGCUCCGCCCACUGCAUGCCCCUCCCACCCGAACUGACUGCCCGGGCUGAUGGCGCCACCUUAUGGUCAGAGGGGGAACUGAAUGACCAAACAGCCUGGUUCAAGGGCCUGGGCCCUAGUAUUACGUCUCCUCCUUUCUAAGUUUCCUUACUUUUUCCUUAACAAGUUAGUCAAUAGUGAUUUAGGCAGUCUUCUCACAAUGAGAUAUUUUAAUUUUCUCCAUCAAAGAAAUUGCUCUCAAGCUUUUUUUCUCUUCCUGCUCCAUCCUUCGCUGUCUUACUUUGUGAGCCUAAAAUCCACCCUAGUCAUGGCUCCUGUGUGUCCUGCCCACAGGAAGAAAAAUGACAAAUUAUUGUAGUGAAAAUAGAAAAUUACAUUCAAAAUUACAGACUGCUGCUGUCAUGCCUAUGAAAAUUUUGCAAGCAGAGGUCUUUCCCUAAAAUAAUAUCUAUAGUCCUUCUAAUCUAAUUAACCCAAUUGUUUAAUCCAAUAGAAUUCAAGACAAAGACUAUAUUUAAUAUUUGUAUUUAUUACUAAUACUACAAAAAUAUGUUCUACUAAUUUUCCCUCUAAAAACACAAAACUUCAACAGCGUUAUAAAUUAAGAAGGCUUUUCUGGGGCUAGCCUGGAAACCUAAAAUUUAUAAUAUUGUUUUUAGCUGGAUGUAGUUGCAUGUGCCUUUAGUCUCAACUACUUGGGAGGAUGAAAAAGGAGGAUGGCUUGAGCCCAGGAGUUGGAGGUCAGCUUGGGCUACACAGUGAGACCUUGAUCACAAAAUACAUGCAUCACACAUUUAUAUAUACAUAUUUAUUUUUGGAGGAAAAUAUAUCUUGAGUCCUAAAAUAAUCAACUCUCAAAGCGUUGGAACAUAACACAUUUGUGAAUUGGGCAUUUCCUCUAUGUUACUGAUCAAUAGUCAGAAUGUUCAUGGAUUGAAUGGAAAUACAAAUGAUAAAAAGGAAUUUUUAAAAGCCUAAGAGAACAGGAACACUGCACCCCUAGCAAUAAAUCCAUUUACUGGAAAGAAUGUAAGGCAGUAAACAUUGGAUGCCUCUUGUGACCUGAACACUGUUAGUGCCUUGCUUUAAAGCUUACAUUUUCUCAGAUGCCCUCUCUGUUUUCUUUGGGCCUUCGUUUUUUGCUUUCUUGUUGCUCGCUGAGACAAAUUCCAGGAGAAACUAUCCCAAGGACUGGGUUGCCUGGGUUCCACCAAGGGAGCUGGUUGAGCACAGAGGUCGGCAUUUUCGUGGUAGAUUCUGUGGAGCUUUCCCUGGCUAAGCUUCAGUUUUGCUCUGAGAAAUGUUGAAUUUCGGGUGGGUAAAGAAAAAAUCUUUUUCUUUGUGGGAGAAGUUCUUGUACCUUUAUAUAAUGUAUCUUGAUUCUUA